GGAUGAUGAACAGGGCUGUUGAACAGCAGAGCUCUUCAUUUCAAUGCUUCUUCUUGGGCACAUGUACCCGGACAUAGCUCAGUCCGUUCUGUAAAUUAAGGUAGACGUGCAGGCCAGUGAUUUCUAGUUGAGGCAGAGGGUCUGCUCUCAGGGUCCCCCCUUGGCCCCAUGCUGCCCACACGGAUGCUGAUGUUCACCGGCUCUGGGAUGUGAGCUUCAGGGAAAGUGCUUGAGGAAGGGACGCUUUCGCAGCUGUCUUGCAGUGGGAAGACAAGCAGCUGGUACUGCUUCCGAGGUGGAAAUCUUGAGCGGUACUGCUCUGCUAUCAGCCAACGCGGGUGAGCCUGGAGGAGCCAGUGUGACUUUGCUGUGGAUGCUGAGUUUACUUCUGACUCACACAUCAGAGGAAACCUCUCUCACACAGCGUGGAGAAGCUCACUGUCUUAAGGUGAGCCGGUCACCCCUCUUGGUAACAGCAGCUCUUCUUUUCUCUCUGGGUGUCAGAGUAGCUCACCCUAAACCACCAGCCGCUUUACACUAAUGAGCUGACCUCCUCUGAGACCCAGGUCAAGUGCCCUGCCCAAGGCCAUGAUGGAGGGCCCAUGGAGACAGCAGGCCUGGCGAGCAUGGCGUCCUGCCAGACAAUGCCUCUCCCCUACAGUCUCCUUGACUCUCGCUACCCGGAUAGACACACCAUCUGACACUGUCCUGCAGUGAAUAAAGGAAAAGAAGAAACCAG
rnacentral:lncRNA from 1 species